rnacentral:lncRNA from 1 species
UAAACGUCUUUCUCAGUCACAUGCUUCGUGUCCUUGCAGUCAAGCUGCAGAGACUCAGUGUGCAAUACUGCCACCACUCCCAUGAUGCAAGCUAUCUUCAGAUAAGAUUAAAAGCUAUCUAGAAGCAGAAGUAAGCCUGAUGAUCUGCAUGCAAGAAAGUAUUUAGGAAUAAGCCCAAAACUUCUACAAGUCAAAUGUUGUCGCCCCCAUCAAACCAGGUAAACAUUGAAUGCACUGUUGCUUUCUUCUACACUGCUGAAGAUCAAUUGAAAGCAGCAACAACAAAAUUGAAUUCAGGUUGGCCAGCUCCAAGCAGUAAUACUCCAAGAGGGAACACACCAAAACAAGAGCAUACACAAUAAUUCUACAUAAACCAAUAGAUUGCAACCAACACAAUGAUCACUUGAUUUCUUGAAGAACUUCUGGAAUCAAGUCCCAGUAUACUGGAGCCAAGCAAUAGACACCCCAACUAUGUUUAGAGCAAUAAACCACUCGAUCAAAUAUGCCUUCCAAAUAAUGAAGAUGGAGUAAUUAUAUCUUAAUUUUAUUCUCCAUGGAGGACCGGGCCUUCCAUACUUGGUAGUUCUGCAAGACUCCUCCAAGAACUGAAACUUACCAAAAACAAAUACUUAAAAGGUUACUUUUUCAAUUGGUCCCUAACUUGCUAAAUUUUUCUGAGUGAGUCCUCCAAAAACUGAAAUUUACCAUGGUAUAUUUUACUAACUAUCAGGGUACAUUUGGAAGAACAAUUUAAUCAAAGUUUCUAACAUGCUUAUUAAAUGGGAGCUUAGUUAUAAAACUUAACUGCAAAUUUAGGCUAAAAAGCUUAUUUUGAUAAAUUUGCUCGUAAGACCUUUUUCAGCUGAAAAAAAAAAGGCCUCAAAGGUCGCAAGACCAAAUAAACCCCUUAAAUCACUCACAGAUGUUUUCAUAUAGAUUAUAUUGGCUAACGCCAUUUAGACCCGAUUGAUGCUUGUUUAAAGUCAAUGUAGGCCUUUUUGCCGUUGCUGCAAUCGACUUUAUUAUAAAAGUAUAAAUAUCUAAUCAAAAUUUUACACACCAAAAAUGCCUAUUUGAGAAUUCAAUGAAACUAAAGGACCAAUAGUUUAACCUAUUAUUGAAAUUUCAUUCAAUCUGCGCUUUCAUAGAUCCCUUUUGGUUAAAUUAAUUUUUGUUUUCCUUCUUCUUCUUAUUUCAGUUAGCUUACUUGACAACGUAUUCGUUCAAGGUCGUGACCCCUUUGCAAAAGGAUGGUUCACACAAGUAAAAAGACAAAUCCAUAUUAAAGAUUCAAAAUCAUGACGUCCUUGUCCAUAUUCCAAAUAGGUUUCUCUCCAAUGGAAACUUCACUAGGCCGUAGAUGAAAAGCGGGACGGAAGAAAAAAGAACACGAAGAUCGUUAUAUUGAUAAUGAGGAAUGCUAACAGUCUCUGACACUCUCUUCCCAAGACUUGGUUAGAAUUUAUUAGAAAUCAUAAUUUUCAGUGGUUAAAUUUCUAAAUCAGGAGAGAAAAAUAAGAGGAACUCACCAGAAAGUGUUUUUUGAACAGCCGAAGCAUCAAGCCAACCCUUUCACUGUUCAUAUAGGCAAAGAAGCAGAUGCAUAAUCGUCAUGAAUUAUGCAAAAGGAAAUUCCAUAAAUGCUUCAACCAAACUAAAUUUCUAUCAUAUAUCUUUUGUCGCCGCUAAUAGAAGGUAUUAAAGACAGACUAAAAAAAAGGUAUUGUAGACAAAAGGCAAGGAUACGGUAAUAAAAAUGUGCUUUUCGGGCAACUCUGCCCUUCAGAAGUAAAGGGAUAAUGUUUUGAUAAAGGGAAUCCUCUGAAAUUACAAUACCCUGCAAAACAUUUCAACUCACAAUCGCAUGCUACCGACAUCACCAGCAUCACCCUUCUACCUCAAAACAUUUGCAGCACAAAUCCUCUAUAUUAUCGACUGGCAAAGAAGAGGUAUAGAGAUUCUCCACAAUAGAACAUCUCCAUAAGAUUAGUACCAAAACUGGGUAGUCCAAGUCUCACCGUAAUGCGAAUAUGCGACUCCACAAACAGAAAGGACGAUUAUAGUAGUCGGAGAAAUAGAAUCUACCUCUUACAUUUAUAAGACUCAAUACACUACUGUAAAUAGCUGAUUGUGAUUCUGCGUUUGAAUGCAGAAUACACUCACGAGAUUAACGGAAGAAAUAGCAAAAGCAGAAAACGCUCAGCCCCUGAAUUUUCAUAGAUGCACAUACAUACCAUCAUAUACAAUCUGAACUAUAUACAAAACAAUAACAUAAACGCAAUCAAUACUUCCCAAAGCAUUUAAUAACACACAAUUCAAGUCCAAAACUAACCGUCCAUAAAAUCAUCAAACACCACAAAGAAAGCAAUCCCACACAUUUUGUCAAUUGACAGCAUCAAUUCAACCAAGCUUUCCCGAUACUUGAAAUGAUGCUGCAUUUCUAGAAACAAAGCACAGCACAAACUUAAAGAGAAGAGAAGAAUAAAAUAAGCACAAUAGCAGGCAAAGGUAGCAAAGAAAGAAGAAGAAAUGGUGGAAAUUUUAUGAUAGUACUACGAACUUUAGAGCCAGAGAGAAUGUUGGGCGAUCCAAUUCAAAAUAUAGAUACGACGGUGGUGUCCCAAAUCGAAAGUAGAGAUUGGUAUCUCUCCCCUGACCCAGCACAAAAGGAUGUGGAGGAGGAACACAC